rnacentral:rRNA from 1 species
UACGGAGGGAGCUAGCGUUGUUCGGAAUUACUGGGCGUAAAGGGCGCGUAGGCGGCCUGCUAAGUCGGACGUGAAAUCCCUCGGCUCAACCGAGGAACUGCGUCCGAUACUGGCAGGCUCGAGGCCGGGAGAGGAGAGUGGAAUGCCCUGUGUAGCGGUGAAAUGCGCAGAUAUAGGGCAGAACACCCGUGGCGAAGGCGGCUCUCUGGAACGGUUCUGACGCUGAGACGCGAAAGCGUGGGGAGCAAACAGG